AUAUCUUCUUGUCUUCUUAGAAACGGCAUGCUCCUGAUGUUCGCAAAAGCUGCUGCUUGAUGUAAAAUAAAAUUACAAACAUGUUCCUGAUCCCUUCCACAUCCAAGGCGACAGCCCCCAAAGUCCCCCUGUGGCAUUCAGACAGGCUGAAAUCGCUGCACCCAACCGAAGGUGGAGGCUGCCAACAUUGUCCUAAAUUUGCAGUUGCAAUGCCUUGGAUGGACAGAGAUCAUUUUAGC